UACUCCUACGGGAGGCAGCAGUGGGGAAUAUUGCACAAUGGGCGCAAGCCUGAUGCAGCCAUGCCGCGUGUAUGAAGAAGGCCUUCGGGUUGUAAAGUACUUUCAGCGGGGAGGAAGGCGACGGGGUUAAUAACCCUGUCGAUUGACGUUACCCGCAGAAGAAGCACCGGCUAACUCCGUGCCAGCAGCCGCGGUAAUACGGAGGGUGCAAGCGUUAAUCGGAAUUACUGGGCGUAAAGCGCACGCAGGCGGUCUGUUAAGUCAGAUGUGAAAUCCCCGGGCUUAACCUGGGAACUGCAUUUGAAACUGGCAGGCUUGAGUCUUGUAGAGGGGGGUAGAAUUCCAGGUGUAGCGGUGAAAUGCGUAGAGAUCUGGAGGAAUACCGGUGGCGAAGGCGGCCCCCUGGACAAAGACUGACGU
rnacentral:rRNA from 1 species